UACACUCCUACGGGAGGCAGCAGUGGGGAAUUUUGGACAAUGGGCGAAAGCCUGAUCCAGCAAUGCCGCGUGAGUGAAGAAGGCCUUCGGGUUGUAAAGCUCUUUUGUCAGGGAAGAAACGGUGAGAGCUAAUAUCUUUUGCUAAUGACGGUACCUGAAGAAUAAGCACCGGCUAACUACGUGCCAGCAGCCGCGGUAAUACGUAGGGUGCAAGCGUUAAUCGGAAUUACUGGGCGUAAAGCGUGCGCAGGCGGUUUUGUAAGUCUGAUGUGAAAUCCCCGGGCUCAACCUGGGAAUUGCAUUGGAGACUGCAAGGCUAGAAUCUGGCAGAGGGGGGUAGAAUUCCACGUGUAGCAGUGAAAUGCGUAGAUAUGUGGAGGAACACCGAUGGCGAAGGCAGCCCCCUGGGUCAAGAUUGACGCUCAUGCACGAAAGCGUGGGGAGCAAACAGGAUUAGAAACCCGAGUAGUCCCA
rnacentral:rRNA from 1 species